AAAAAAUCACGCGUUUAAGCGAAAAUCACCCGUUCUCUCUUCAAAAAUCCACCAUUUAACUAGAAAAUCACCCAUUUUCUCUUCAAAAUUCCCACAUUUAACCCGAAAAUCACCCAUUUCCCCUUCAAAAAUCUCCAAUUAUUUGGACAAUCACACAUUUGCUCCUCAAAAACCCCCCAUUUAAGGGUAAAUCAUGCAUUUUCUCGACAAAAAUCCUCCAUUUAACUAAAUAACUAUGCACUUAAGCGAAAAUCAAACAUUUUCUCUUUGAAAAUCCCCCAUUUAAGGGUAUAUCAAGCAUUUUAUUUCUGAAAAUCUGCCAUUUAAGGGUAAAUCAUGCAUUUUCUCUUCGAAAAUCCAACAUUUAGCUAAAAAAUCACGCAUUUAAGCGAAAAUCACCAGUUUUCUCUACGAAAAACCCACAUUUAACCCGAAAAACAUGCAUUUUCUCUUCAAAAUUCCCCCAUUUAAACCGAAAAUCAACCAUUUUCCCUUCAAAAAUCCCCAAUUAUUUGGAAAAUCACACAUUUUCUCCUCAAAAACCCCCCAUUUAAGGGUAAAUCAUGCAUUUUCUCCUCAAAAAUCCUCCAUUGAACUAAAUAACUAUGCACUUAAGCGAAAAUCAAACAUUUUCUCUUUGAAAAUCCCCCAUUUAAGGGUAUAUCAUGCAUUUUAUUUCUGAAAAUCUGCCAUUUAAGGGUAAAUCAUGCAUUUUCUCUUCGAAAAUCCAACAUUUAGCUAAAAAAUAACGCGUUUAAGCAAAAAUCACCCGUUCUCUCUUCAAAAAUCCCCCAUUUAACCCCAAAAUCACCCAUUUUCUCUUCGAAAAUCCGACAUUUAAGUGAAAAUCACCCCUUUUCUUUUCAAAAAUCCCCCAUUUAACCCAAACAUCACCCCUUUUCUCCUCGAAAAUCCCCCUUUUUACCCCAAAAUCACGCAUUUUCUCCUCAAAAAUCCCCCAUUUAAGGGUAAAUCGUGCAUUUUCUCUUCAAAAAUCCCCCAAUUAUCCCAAAAAAUCACACAUUUAAGCGAAAAUCACCCGUUCUCUCUUCGAAAAUCCCCCAUUUAACAAAAAAACAUCAUGCAUUUAAGCGAAAAUCAAACAUUUUCUCUUCGAAAAUGCCCCAUUUCAGCAAAAAACACGCAUUUUCUCCUCGAAAAUCCCCCAUUUAUCUCAAAAAUCACGCAUGUAAGCGAAAAUCCUUCAUUUUCUUUUCGAAAAUGCUCCCUUUAAGCAAAAUUCACCCAUUUUCCCUUCAAAAAUCCCAGAUUUAUCUCAAAAAUCACCCAUUUUCCCAACGAAAAUGCCCCAUUUAAGCAAAAAUCACCCAUUUUCUCUUCGAAAAUCCCACAUUUUCGUGAAAAUCAACCCUUUUCUCUUCAGAAAUCCCCCAUUUAAGUGAAAAUCACACAUUUUCUCUUCGAAAACCUCCCAUUUUACCCCAAAAUCACACAUUUUCUCCUCGAAAAUCCCCCAUUUAAGGGUAAAUCAUGCAUUUUCUCUUCGAAAAUCCAACAUUUAGCUAAAAAAUCACGCGUUUAAGCGAAAAUCACCCGUUCUCUCUUCAAAAAUCCACCAUUUAACUAGAAAAUCACCCAUUUUCUCUUCAAAAUUCCCACAUUUAACCCGAAAAUCACCCAUUUCCCCUUCAAAAAUCUCCAAUUAUUUGGACAAUCACACAUUUGCUCCUCAAAAACCCCCCAUUUAAGGGUAAAUCAUGCAUUUUCUCCUCAAAAAUCCCACAUUUAACAAAAAAGAUCAUACAUUUAAGCCGAAAAUCACGCAUUUUCUCUUCGAAAACCUCCCAUUUUACCCCCAAAUCACACAUUUUCUCCUCGAAAAUCCCCCAUUUAAGGGUAAAUCAUGCAUUUUCUCUCCGAAAAUCCAACAUUUAGCUAAAAAAUCACGCAUUUAAGCAAAAAUCACCCGUUUUCUCUUUGAAAAUCUCCCAUUUAACCCCAAAAUCACCCAUUUUCUCUUCAAAAUUCCCACAUUUAAUCCGAAAAUCACCCAUUUUCCCUUCAAAAAUCCCCAAUUAUUUGGAAAAUCACGCAUUUUCUCCUCAAAAACCCCCCAUUUAAGGGUAAAUCAUGCAUUUUCUCCUCAAAAAUCCCCCAUGUAACAAAAAAAUCAUGCAUUUAAGCAAAAAUCACGCAUUUUCUCUUCGAAAAUCCGCCAUUUUACCCCAAAAUCACCCAUUUUCUCUUCGAAAAUCCGACAUUUAAGUGAAAAUCACCCCUUUUCUUUUCAAAAAUCCCCCAUUUAACCCAAAAAUCACCCCUUUUCUCCUCGAAAAUCCCCCUUUUUACCCCAAAAUCACGCAUUUUCUCCUCGAAAAUCCCCCAUUUAAGGGUAAAUCAUGCAUUAUCUCUUCGAAAAUCCCCCAAUUAUCCCAAAAAAUCACACAUUUAAGCGAAAAUCACUUGUUUUCUCUUCGAAAAUCCCCCAUUUAACCCGAAAAUCACCCAUUUUCCCUUCAAAAAUCACCAAUUAUUUGGAAAAUCACACAUUUUCUCCUCAAAAACCCCCCAUUUAAGGGUAAAUCAUGCAUUUUCUCCUCAAAAAUCCUCCAUUGAACUAAAUAACUAUGCACUUAAGCGAAAAUCAAACAUUUUCUCUUUGAAAAUCCCCCAUUUAAGGGUAUAUCAUGCAUUUUAUUUCUGAAAAUCUGCCAUUUAAGGGUAAAUCAUGCAUUUUCUCUUCGAAAAUCCAACAUUUAGCUAAAAAAUAACGCGUUUAAGCAAAAAUCACCCGUUCUCUCUUCAAAAAUCCCCCAUUUAACCCCAAAAUCACCCAUUUUCUCUUCGAAAAUCCGACAUUUAAGUGAAAAUCACCCCUUUUCUUUUCAAAAAUCCCCCAUUUAACCCAAACAUCAC
ensembl:lncRNA